ACUGCAGUCGAGCGACAGACGAGGAGCUUGCUCCUUUGACGUUAGCGGCGGACGGGUGAGUAACACGUAGGUAACCUACCUAUAAGACUGGGAUAACUUCGGGAAACCGGAGCUAAUACCGGAUAAUAUUUCGAACCGCAUGGUUCGAUAGUGAAAGAUGGCUUUGCUAUCACUUAUAGAUGGACCUGCGCCGUAUUAGCUAGUUGGUAAGGUAACGGCUUACCAAGGCAACGAUACGUAGCCGACCUGAGAGGGUGAUCGGCCACACUGGAACUGAGACACGGUCCAGACUCCUACGGGAGGCAGCAGUAGGGAAUCUUCCGCAAUGGGCGAAAGCCUGACGGAGCAACGCCGCGUGAGUGAUGAAGGUCUUCGGAUCGUAAAACUCUGUUAUUAGGGAAGAACAAACGUGUAAGUAACUGUGCACGUCUUGACGGUACCUAAUCAGAAAGCCACGGCUAACUACGUGCCAGCAGCCGCGGUAAUACGUAGGUGGCAAGCGUUAUCCGGAAUUAUUGGGCGUAAAGCGCGCGUAGGCGGUUUUUUAAGUCUGAUGUGAAAGCCCACGGCUCAACCGUGGAGGGUCAUUGGAAACUGGAAAACUUGAGUGCAGAAGAGGAAAGUGGAAUUCCAUGUGUAGCGGUGAAAUGCGCAGAGAUAUGGAGGAACACCAGUGGCGAAGGCGACUUUCUGGUCUGUAACUGACGCUGAUGUGCGAAAGCGUGGGGAUCAAACAGGAUUAGAUACCCUGGUAGUCCACGCCGUAAACGAUGAGUGCUAAGUGUUAGGGGGUUUCCGCCCCUUAGUGCUGCAGCUAACGCAUUAAGCACUCCGCCUGGGGAGUACGACCGCAAGGUUGAAACUCAAAGGAAUUGACGGGGACCCGCACAAGCGGGGGAGCAUGUGGUUUAAUUCGAAGCAACGCGAAGAACCCUACCAAAUCUUGACAUCCUUGGACCCUUCUAGAGAUAGAAGGUGCCCCUUUCGGGGGAC
rnacentral:rRNA from 1 species